GUGAGUCAUCGAAUCUUUGAACGCACCUUGCGCUCCUUGGUAUUCCGAGGAGCAUGCCUGUUUGAGUGUCAUUAAUAUAUAUAUCAACCCCCUCUUGUUGAGCGGUUUGGAUGUGGAGGUUUUUGCUGGCCGCUUAAAAAAGGGUUCAGCUCCUCUGAAAUACAUUAGCGGGACAAGCCUGUCCAUUCAUUGGUGUGAUAACUAUCUACGCUGUUGAAUGUGAGGCAGUUCAGCUUUCCAACAGUCCUUUGGACAACCUUAUCAUUUUAUGUGACCUCAAAUCAGGUAGGACUACCCGCUGAACUUAAGCAUAUCAAUAAGCGGAGG
rnacentral:rRNA from 1 species